ACAGAGGUCUCAAGCGUUGUUCGGAAUCACUGGGCGUAAAGGGUGCGUAGGUGGCGUGGUAAGUCAGAUGUGAAAGCCCGGGGCUCAACCUCGGAAUUGCAUCCGAUACUACCUGCUAGAGACUGAAGGGGUGACUAGAAUUCUCGGUGUAGCAGUGAAAUGCGUAGAUAUCGAGAGGAAUACCAAAGGCGAAGGCAGGUCACUGGGCAGUUACUGACACUGAGGCACGAAGGCCAGGGGAGCGAACGGGAUUAGAUACCCGUGUAGUCC
rnacentral:rRNA from 1 species